rnacentral:rRNA from 1 species
AUUGAACGCUGGCGGCAUGCUUUACACAGGCAAGUCGAACGGUAACAGGCCGCAAGGUGCUGACGAGUGGCGAACGGGUGAGUAAUGCAUCGGAACGUGCCCAGUCGUGGGGGAUAACGCAGCGAAAGCUGCGCUAAUACCGCAUACGAUCUAUGGAUGAAAGCGGGGGACCGUAAGGCCUCGCGCGAUUGGAGCGGCCGAUGUCAGAUUAGGUAGUUGGUGGGGUAAAGGCUCACCAAGCCAACGAUCUGUAGCUGGUCUGAGAGGACGACCAGCCACACUGGGACUGAGACACGGCCCAGAAGCCUACGGGAGGCAGCAGUGGGGAAUUUUGGACAAUGGGCGCAAGCCUGAUCCAGCAAUGCCGCGUGCAGGAAGAAGGCCUUCGGGUUGUAAACUGCUUUUGUACGGAACGAAACGGUCCUGGUUAAUACCCGGGGCUAAUGACGGUACCGUAAGAAUAAGCACCGGCUAACUACGUGCCAGCCGCCGCCGUAACAC